AACGAACGCUGGCGGCAGGCCUAACACAUGCAAGUCGAGCGAGGACUUCGGUUCUAGCGGCGGACGGGUGAGUAACGCGUGGGAAUGUGCCCUUCUCUACGGAAUAGCCCUGGGAAACUGGGAGUAAUACCGUAUACGCCCUAUUGGGGAAAGAUUUAUCGGAGAAGGAUCAGCCCGCGUUGGAUUAGGUAGUUGGUGGGGUAAUGGCCUACCAAGCCGACGAUCCAUAGCUGGUUUGAGAGGAUGAUCAGCCACACUGGGACUGAGACACGGCCCAGACUCCUACGGGAGGCAGCAGUGGGGAAUCUUAGACAAUGGUGGCAACCCUGAUCUAGCCAUGCCGCGUGAGUGAUGAAGGCCUUAGGGUUGUAAAGCUCUUUCAGCUGGGAAGAUAAUGACGGUACCAGCAGAAGAAGCCCCGGCUAACUCCGUG
rnacentral:rRNA from 1 species